rnacentral:rRNA from 1 species
AGCAGUAGCCGCGGUAAUACGUAGGGUGCAAGCGUUAAUCGGAAUUACUGGGCGUAAAGCGUGCGCAGGCGGUUAUAUAAGUCAGAUGUGAAAUCCCCGGGCUCAACCUGGGAACUGCAUUUGAGACUGUAUGGCUAGAGUGUGUCAGAGGAGGGUAGAAUUCCACGUGUAGCAGUGAAAUGCGUAGAUAUGUGGAGGAACACCGAUGGCGAAGGCAGCCCCCUGGGAUAACACUGACGCUCAUGCACGAAAGCGUGGGGAGCAAACAGGAUUAGAUACCCCUGUAGUCCCUGUCUCUUAUAC